UGAGGAAUAUUGGUCAAUGGAGGCAACUCUGAACCAGCCAUGCCGCGUGCAGGAUGACAGUCCUAUGGAUUGUAAACUGCUUUUGUACAGGAAGAAACAUUACUACGUGUAGUAACUUGACGGUACUGUAAGAAUAAGGAUCGGCUAACUCCGUGCCAGCAGCCGCGGUAAUACGGAGGAUCCAAGCGUUAUCCGGAAUUAUUGGGUUUAAAGGGUUCGUAGGCGGUUAGAUAAGUCAGUGGUGAAAUUUCCUAGCUUAACUAGGGCACUGCCAUUGAUACUGUUUAACCUGAAUAGUAUGGAAGUAACUAGAAUAUGUAGUGUAGCGGUGAAAUGCUUAGAUAUUACAUGGAAUACCAAUUGCGAAGGCAGCCCCCUGGGUCGAUACUGACGCUCAUGC
rnacentral:rRNA from 1 species